UACGAAGGUCCCAAGCGUUAUCCGGAAUUAUUGGGCGUAAAGCGCAUGUAGGCGGUUUGUUAAGUCUGGUGUGAAAGCUCAAGGCCUAACCUUGAAAUUGCAUUGGAAACUGGCAAACUAGAAUACUGGAGGGGUAAGUGGAAUUCCAUGUGUAGCGGUGGAAUGCGUAGAUAUAUGGAGGAACACCAAUGGCGAAGGCAGCUUACUGGACAGUUAUUGACGCCGAGAUGCGAAAGCGUGGGGAGCAAACAGG
rnacentral:rRNA from 1 species